UACGAACUGUGCAAACGUUAUUCGGAAUCACUGGGCUUACAGGGUGCGUAGGCGGCUUGUUAAGUAGGGUGUGAAAGCCCCCGGCUCAACCGGGGAAUUGCGCCCUAAACUGGCGAGCUGGAGUGAGAUAGGGGCGUGUGGAACUUCCGGUGGAGCGGUGAAAUGCGUAGAUAUCGGAAGGAACGCCGGUGGCGAAAGCGACACGCUGGACCUUUUCUGACGCUGAGGCGCGAAAGCCAGGGGAGCAAACGGG
rnacentral:rRNA from 1 species